GGUUCAGGACGAACGCUGGCGGCGUGCCUAAUACAUAGCAAGUCGAACGGUCUUUCUAUGGAAGCUUGCUUCCACUGAGAAGAUAGUGGCGAACGGGUGAGGUAACACGUGGGUAACCUGCCCAUAAGAGGGGGGAUAACAUCCGGAAACGGGUGCUAAUACCGCAUAGUUUUCUUGAUCGCAUGAUCGGGAAAGGAAAGACGGCCUUUGUGCUGUCGCUUAUGGAUGGACCCGCGGCGUAUUAGUUAGUUGGUGAGGUAACGGCUCACCAAGACGAUGAUACGUAGCCGACCUGAGAGGGUGAUCGGCCACAUUGGGACUGAGACACGGCCCAAACUCCUACGGGAGGCAGCAGUAGGGAAUCUUCCGCAAUGGACGAAAGCCUGACGGAGCAACGCCGCGUGAGUGAAGAAAGGUUUUCGGAUCGUAAAACUCUGUUGUCAGAGAAGAACAAGUUGGAGAGUAACUGCUCCAGCCUUGACGGUAUCUGACCAGAAAGCCACGGCUAACUACGUGCCAGCCGCCGC
rnacentral:rRNA from 1 species